GAGGUACUGGGCCCAUCAAGAGGAAUUGGGAAAAUCACAUGUUGAACUUCUAGUAUUGCUAAAAUUCAUCAAGUUGAGGCAACCACCACUGAAGCUUUACCCAAGUAGGUAGAAAAGCAGAUACAUGAACCUCUUCCCCAAAGAUUUUCCCAAAGGUUUGACGAAGUCUUGACAUAAUCUGCAAAGUGCUUCAGCUUGAAAAUGUUUAUUUCUGGUUGUGUCCCUUUUGCAUGUAUUUAUUCAUUAGUCCGUCCCAUAUUGUUCCUGCAAAAACCUGCACUAACAUUUGCAUUUAGAAAUUGUAGAGCAAUAUCUGAUGGAUAACUAUGUUCUGGUCCAUGUUUCAGUCCUGGUAGUGCAGAUCCUGUCAGUUUGCUCUGAAUUUCAUAAUUCCUCAAGCAUCCUUAGCUAGGACUAACUGGAAAGCUAACCAGCUCAACAGAAGUCUUAUUACUGGUCUGGAAAAGUAGCCUCUUUUUCUGAAAUUUAAUUUGGUCUUCCCUUCUUUUGAAUGCUUUCCCCUGUGAGCUGUCCGGACGGCACAGAAAGCAAAGCAUAUACAGACUUAGAUAUCUGUACCCAAGUGGAAAUAAUGUUUUAUGAGAAGCAGACGUAAAUCAGUGCAGUUACUGGAGUAAAUUGGCCUAGUAUAAUAUAAACUCAGCUAUUUAUUUUACUUUAUUUUGCAUUUCUUUCAUGCUGCCUUUUAUUUGGGGAGGGGCAGUGACGAUCUUGUGAAUCAAAAGAUGCUUAUAUAUGCAAGGGAGUGGGGGGAAAGUGCUUUAGCUUUGUUUCAGUCUAUCAAGGGAAAAUAGGUACACACACACAAAAGUGCGUAUUACCAUAUUGACCCUAUUUAUUUUCACAGCAGGUGCAAGAUAGCUUGCGCUAUCAAUGACCACUGGAAACAAAGACGGGCAGAAGUGUGAACUUGCUUUCACCUCUUAUAAUUCCACAGUGGUCUCAGAGGUUAAUGCAUAAAAUAAUUCAGGUCACCAUGACUUGAAACCACCAGACCAUGGAAGCCUCCUUCAGAGCCAAUCAGGCCUAACGUGCAGUAUUUUAGACCGCCUGCGUACUUGUGCCUGGAUCAGAUAUUACUGGUUUUUCAGGAGAUCAUACGGCAGGGGAAUAAAUGGCACCUUGCCCAAGAGCACUUGGUGAACUUCAUGGUGAGUAAACUGCAACCCUAACCUCUCUUCCGGGUUUCCCAUUGACAGCUUGCUAGUUACUGUGAAUCACAGAAUCAUAGAGUUGACCAAGGGUCAUCUAGUCCAACCCCCUGCAAUGCAGGAAUCUCAGCUAAAGCAUCCAUGACAGAUGGCCAUCUGCUUAUAAACCUCCAAGGAAGGAGAGUCCACCACCUCUCUUGGGAGUCUGUUCCACUGCCAAACAGCUCUGACUGUCAGAAACUUUUUCCUGAUUAGUCGGAAUCUCCUUUCUUGUAACUUGAAGCCAUUGGUUCGAAUCCUACCCUCCAGAGCAGGAGAAAGCAAGCAUGCUCCCUCUUCCAUGUGACAGCCCUUAAGAUAUUUGAAGAUGGCUAUCAUAUGGAGUUUGGAUUUGGAUUUGAUAUCUCGCUUAAUCACUACCCGAAGGAGUCUCAAAACGGCUAACCUUCUCCUUUCCCUUCCUCCCCCACAGCAAACACUCUGUGAGGUGGGUGGGGCUGAGAGACUUCAGAGAAGUGUGACUAGCCCAAGGUCACCCAGCAGCUGCAUAUGGAGGAGCGGAGACGCGAAGCCGGUUCCCCUGAUUACGAAUCUACUGCUCUUAACCACUACACCACACUGGCUCUCCUCUCAGUCUCCUCUUUUCUAGGCUCUACAGGCUAAACUUAACAUCCUGUGAGGACAGGAUACUAGAAUAGAUGGGCCUUUGCCUGAUAUAGCAGGGCUAUUCUUGUGUUGUUUGUUGUUGUUGUUGUUGUUGUUGUUGUUGUUGUUGUUGUUGUUGUUGUUAUUUCUACUCCACCCAUCUGACUGGGUUCCCCAGCCACUCUGGGUGGCUUACACAUAAACACAUUUGCCAUUUUAAGCUCCCUCCCUCCCUUUCCUACAUUUACAUCCAACAUUUCCACCAAGGAUCUCAGAGUGGUGCACAUAGUUCUUCUCCCCACUUUAUGCACACAGCAACCCUGUGAGGUAGGUUAGGCUGAGAGUGAGUGACUGACCCAAGGCCACCCAGUAAGCUUCAUGGCUGAGUGGGGAUUCGGACCCUGGUCUCCCUGGUCCUAGUCCAAUACACCAACCAUUACACCACACCGAUGGAACCUCCAGCUGUUUCUGCUAACCGUGCUGGCUGGGGCAUGCCCUCCAAUACAAAGCGGCCCCAAACCGGGACGCCAUUUUCCAGGGCCACACUCUCACAUGAGUCAUGUGUCCUGUCUGAGAGCGCAGCCCCCCAAAAGUGCUUUUGUGCGUUUUGGGGUGCUGCGCAAGAUUGCUGCCCCCAGCACUUUUUUCAUGGCAAAAGUGUGGUCUGAAAUUGUGUGAGAUAUUUUGGCCACUGUCUUCAUGUGAGAGAAAAAAAUGGGGUGUCCCAUUUCCCCCCUCAGCACAGUUGACAGGUAUGCCAGGGUUUGGGAUGGCCGACCUACUUCAUGAGCACCUUCCCCUGCCCCAAUGAUUUUUGAUUUCAUUGUGAGUUUGGCUACUAGUGGCAUGAUCCAGGUCAUGUUAACUCCCAGAUGUUUCAAGCAGUUACUUAUAUUUCGCCUGCUGAAACCAGUAGGACUUCCAAGGGCUUCGCUUUGGCUGGGAUGUACCCGGCUUUGUAUUCUCUGCAAAGCUGUGCUGCAAUAUUGUCCUUUCAAAUCAGCCAUGCCACUUGCUCUGGGACAUCCUUACAAUGUCCUAUGGAAGGACAAACAUGCACAGAUGUUCUCCACUCUAUUCUUUCUCUAUCUAUCCUGCAGCACUCUUGCCCGAUGUGCUCUGAAGCCAGUCACCCCUCCUUUAAAAGGUUUGGCUCAGGGCAAAGCGACAGCAGCUGUGAGGCAGGUGAAGGGUUAACCUAAAGCAUGCAGCUGCUAAUGUUAGUUUCGGAGGCAGACCCAAGUCUUCAGGGAUAAUCUAUCCAGGCAAGAUCUGACAUGAGAUGUGACAUUUACUAUCCAGCACAGCUAAGGCCGUCGGGGAUGUUAUCAGGAGUGACUGAAGACACCUCUUCUUGCCUCUCUUCCUUUAUGCCUUCUGUAAAUGAAGUUACUUCCUGGUUGUUUUCAAAGCAUCCCCAACCAUUGGCCCUGCUGGCUAGGGCACAGCAUGGUGGGAAUCCCAAAACAUGCUAAUGAUUAAGUGGUAUGUAAAUGCUUGCAGUGCGGGUGGCGCUGUGGUCUAAACCACAGAGCCUAGGACUUGCCAAUCAGAAGGUUGGCGGUUCGAAUCCCCGUGACGGGGUGAGCUCCCGUUGCUUGGUUCCAGCUCCUGCCAACCUAGCGGUUUGAAAGCACACCAAAGUGCAAGUAGAUAAAUAAGUACCGCUCCAGCGGUAAGGUAAAUGGCAUUUCCGUGCGCUGCUCUGGUUUCUCCAGAAGCGGCUUAGUCAUGCUGGCCACAUGACCCAGGAAAACUGUGGACAAACGUCGGCUCCCUCAGCCAAUAAAGCGAGAUGAGUGCCACAACCCCAGAGUUGUUCACGACUGGACUUAACCGUCAGGGGUCCUUUACCUUUACCUUUUUAAAAUGCCUUAAAUAAACAAAUGAAUGUCUGGAGGACCACAGGUUUCCUAUCUGUGGGUUAGUGUGUACGAUGGAGAUGGGGGACUGGUGGCCCUUCAGAUGUUGCUGGACCACAAAUCCCAGCAUUCCCUGCCCAUUGGGUCAUUCUGGCCCCUGGCUGAUGGGAAUUGGAAUUCAACAUCUCCUUGAGGGUCAUAGGUUCUCCAUCCCUGGUGUAGGAUUCAGACUGAGGUGAUCUAGAUUCAGAUCCCCACUCUGCUAUGAAGCUUACUUGCUAACCUUGGGGCAGUGUUCCUCACUUUUGCCUGCAUUGCAGGGUGGCUAUGGGGAUAGGAGGUGGGAAACUUUGAGCUAUUUAGAGGAAAGGUGGGAUGUAACUGAGGGCUCCACAUUUCUGAUUGUCCCUUGCUUUUUUUAAGGCACAGUACCAAGAGAUAUUUCAUUUGCCCCACCACUUUUCCCAGGAAAGCUCACUGAUUACCACUGAACUGGAACAAAUGUCAAUCUGCAGAAAACCUGAUUGAUGAGUGUUUUGAUUCAGCAGGACGAAAUAAAAAUCUCUUGGACAUGGAAAGGACAGGACAAUUGUGGAUGAGCCGGGAGAGAGCACCUCAUCUGUUAUGUAUGCAGGAGGUCACUGCAGUCUGUGAGAGAGGGUCUCAUUGAAGAACCAAAGAUCUCAGAAGUCUGCUCUAUGAUAACUCAGAACAGGGUUUGGAAUAUUAUGAAAACUAUGAAAAAGAAAAGAGUGCGUCCGCCUCCGUUCUAUGAAACAGCCCACUCCCUUCACUUUUUAGAAACGAUGGAAAAUACCUUCGUUCUAACAGUUUUUCCCAGCUGGAUGAAUGGGUCUCCCCAAGAGGCAUCCAUUUGGUGGAAACUAAAUUUUACUCAUAGUGGAC